UACGGGGGGGGCAAGCGUUGUUCGGAAUUACUGGGCGUAAAGGGCUCGUAGGUGGCCAACUAAGUCAGACGUGAAAUCCCUCGGCUUAACCGGGGAACUGCGUCUGAUACUGGAUGGCUUGAGUUCGGGAGAGGGAUGCGGAAUUCCAGGUGUAGCGGUGAAAUGCGUAGAUAUCUGGAGGAACACCGGUGGCGAAGGCGGCAUCCUGGACCAAUUCUGACGCUGAGGAGCGAAAGCCAGGGGAGCAAACGGG
rnacentral:rRNA from 1 species